GGACUGGAAAGGAGAUAACAUUCGAAAUGUAAAUACAUAAAAAUCCAGAAAGGGGGGGCAGCAGGGAAGGCAAGCUAUGAAACCUCAAAACCCCCAGCUUUCUGGGGGAAAGAGAAGAAAAUAAAGGUGGUGACAUUUUAAGCUGGAAAAGAAGAAAGAAAAAGAGAGGGAAAAAAGAGGCUAGGGUUAGUACCUGGUUGAUUCCAAAGCCCGGGCACUGGCCUUGCGUCAUCCUGUCUACUGUCCUGGCGUCAUGUCAGCAAGUGAGGAAGAUGCCGGGAGGAGGUACCAGGCCUGUAGAACAGCACGUGGGGAGCUUUCCGGUGGAAGAGAACUGGCAGUGAGUGAGGAGGCCAAGGGAGGCUCUCUCCCCAUUGUCUUAAGUACUAUUGGUGGAAUGCAGAGGCAUUUCAAGGGAACCGAACUGUCGGAUCUUCUGGGCUGUGUUUGUUAGGUGUGAACAAAACCAAAACCAAACACAAACCAAAAUAAGACACCCAAACCAAUUCUUAUUCUCAGUGGCAGUUGGAAGACUUGCUAUCCAUGCACAGUGCCUGGCCCUCUGCUGUCCCGUCCCAAGAACUACUCCCUUGGCUUAACCUUUGGGAAAUGGGGCUGCGAUUUGCCUAGAUUUACUAUCACCCAACACGAUGGACUGCCUGGGACACGGGCUCUUGGCAUCGGUUGACCAAAAUUAAGCGGCGCGAUGUACAGGCCAGGCACGGUGCCUUCCACUCUUGAAGAAAUGGGUUCGAUAUUCAGAUCUGUGUUUAUUUUAUUUCAGUAAGCUGAGGAAAAGUGACAGGGUUGGUCUCAAAGAACCGGACAAAGGAUGGUGUGGCCAUAUGGAUUCCAAGCCCCAUGGAGAAAAAAGAGAAGCAGUAGAUAGUGAAGGUUGGACAACAGCCGGUAGGAGUCCCUGUGGUGGGAAUCUCUGUGGGAUUCUUUCCUUCACAGCACACCAGCCCCUGUAGAGAGGGGCUUUGUUUCCAGUCAGGGCUUGAGGAGUUGGUUACACAGAGUUUUGUUUUCAGAAGCCUGUGUGUGAGCUGAGGUUGGUGACUCCACCGUCUCUGAGUGGAAACAGCUACAACACUCAUGUGCCCCUAAUUAUCCCCGAGGAUAUAAAACAUCUAGUACCUUGCAAGGCCUUUUUUUCUCUCUAGGACACAAAUUCCUCUUUCCUCCCUCUUCAAUAAACCAAGUUGUGAUUAAAACCUUAGGAAGGAAAAAGGGCGCCACCGAGCAUGUCCUCCACAACCCUCCCAACGUGGCCACUGAGUCACAGGAAAAACAUUCAGGAUGAGAGACCUCGGGGCCCCUGGAGGCAGGGGUGGAUCCGACUAUUGAUAAGCUUCUUCUCUCUAUUUAGAAACUUGCUUUUUCCCAGAGAGGUCCUUUAAAAGUGUUGGACCACUGACUGCAGUUCCGUUCACGGCCACAGACAGUGGCUGGGGUGGUUGGCAGGAGAGACACGUGAAGGACUGAUUUGCCUUUCCAUGACACGCAGGCGGGUGGCACGGUGCCCAGGACUGCAGUACAAAGGCCACCCCUAGAUCAGGUAAGGCCCCAUCUGAGCACAGAAAAUACAUAUUUGAGAAACGUCAGCACCAAGGAUGUCAUUUUUUCUGUUCCAGGAUAUUCGUUUGAAAAAACGGGAACAAUAAUAAAACAUAACACAGUGACUCCUGGGCCUGGACUAUUUUGCCAUGUGACCACACUGACCAAGAAACAGAAGGGGCAACACAGCUAAAGCGUUAUAAAAAAAAAACAACGUGAAGUGCUAAACGUGUUCCCUUCCAUUUUGAAAGAGGCUCCAUCCUUCUCGGCUGAGCGUACCAAAGACUAAGCGAGCGGGUGCCCGAGAGUAUAAACAUUGCUCACAGCCUUGCGCCCCAGAGAAGCAAGAAACAUUUUUUCUAAAGUUUGAAGUCUCUGCCCAAACACAGUUUGCAAUGUUUUGGGAGUAGGAUCCAAGUUCUGUUGAAUGCUUAUGAGACAUUUUGCUUAUUAAAUAAUCUUCUGAAAUCUGCCAGGUUUCAAUGACUCAUGGAUUCAUGCAAACGAAUGCAUGGCAGUUUGGAUUAUGGAAUCCGAGGGAAGAGAAUCCUCAAAUGUGCACUUUACAGGGAGGAGACCGGCUGCCAGGACACUGGAAAUGAUUUGCCCGGACCACGCCCUGGGAAGUGCCCAUGUUUGGAAAGCCGGGCCGGAACCCCAAACCUCCGAGCUCAGGACUCUUUCUUCUGAACCCAGUUUUCCUGGGGGCCAGUGAGAAGUCUCUCUGGGUAAGGACGCAUGCCAGCAAGCUAUGACCUGGGCUUGAUGUCUGGAACCCACACAGUAGAAGGAGAGAACUGACUCUCACAGGCUGCCCCCCUGAUCUCAAGAGGCUGUGGCAUGCAGGGUUGCUGUUGCUAUCUGAGGACUUAAUUCUUCAGGUGAAGAGAGCGGGAUGGAGCUUGGAGGGCAGGAAUUCUGGGACUCAACUGGAUUCUGUCAGAGAGGAAGGGAUGUGCUGAGCUCUGCAAACCUCCUUCCGCUAUUGACAGCGGAGCCUGCUGGUGAGGGACGGGUGACCUUCACCUGCUCUGCCUUAGUCAAUAACAACCCAGAGACAAACAGUCGCUUCAUCUACAACAACCACUUAAUUUUGUGCCCCACUCUAUUUACAGUCAGAAAAAAGAAAAGCAAACCAAA